rnacentral:rRNA from 1 species
CAGCAGCCACGGUAAUACGAAGGUCCCGAGCGUUGUUCGGAAUCACUGGGCGUAAAGGGAGCGUAGGCGGCGUGGUAAGUCAGAUGUGAAAUCCCGGGGCUCAACCCCGGAACUGCAUCCGAUACUGCCAUGCUAGAGGAUUGGAGAGGUAGCUGGAAUUCUUGGUGUAGCAGUGAAAUGCGUGGAGAUCAAGAGGAACACUCGUGGCGAAAGCGAGCUACUGGACAAUAACUGACGCUGAGGCUCGAAGGCCAGGGUAGCGAAAGGGAUUAGAUACCCGUGUAGUCCCUGUCUCUUAUAC